rnacentral:ncRNA from 2 species
GGUCAUGAGUAUCAGCGCAAAGCCCCGGCUCGCUGAUCGGCAACCCUCCAACCGCGGUGGGGUGCUCCGGGUGAUGACCGGGUUGUGGGACCCCGUUCUGCGACGAUCAAUUCGUCGAUGAUGGUUUCGGGUCCCCGGCAAGCGCGGGUC